rnacentral:rRNA from 1 species
AACGAACGCUGGCGGCAUGCCUGACACAUGCAAGUCGAACGAGACCUUCGGGUCUAGUGGCGCACGGGUGCGUAACGCGUGGGAACCUGCCCUUAGGUUCGGAAUAACUCCCCGAAAGGGGUGCUAAUACCGGAUAAUGUCUUCGGACCAAAGAUUUAUCGCCUUUGGAUGGGCCCGCGUUGGAUUAGCUAGUUGGUAGGGUAAAAGCCUACCAAGGCGACGAUCCAUAGCUGGUCUGAGAGGAUGAUCAGCCACACUGGGACUGAGACACGGCCCAGACUCCUACGGGAGGCAGCAGUGGGGAAUAUUGGACUAUGGGCGAAAGCCUGAUCCAGCAAUGCCGCGUGAGUGAUGAAGGCCUUAGGGUUGUAAAGCUCUUUUACCCGGGAUGAUAAUGACAGUACCGGGAGAAUAAGCUCCGGCUAACUCCGUG